UCAGAGCAGUAGUGCAUAGUGUAUGGAUACUACCCGCCCCCGAGCCUAGCAAAUUGCCUGGUGAGCGGCCAUCCUGGAUAAAUGGUGAAUGAUGACAUCCCAGUGGUCACUUCCACACACCACAGGCUUCUCCGAAAUUGGAGUUCCAGAAGCCAUCCUUGGAUAACAUCUCUAUAAUCUCCUGGGAGAAUCCUUCUUCGAAGAAAUCCUCCAUCAGAGGAGAGUUCUUGGUCUCAGUCACAUCUGAAAGAGCAAGUGCAAAUGUCUCCUGUUCACUAAGGGUGAGAACACAGACAAGAGCAAGUAGGGGUGAUAGAUCUUGAGUCCAGCCUAUCCAUCAAGGGACCCAAAGGGGUGACCCACGUGGAACUGGCAUCACAGAAAACAGACAGAGCCCAUUCCCAGGAGGGUCAAGAAGGGAGUUGGGAAACCAUAGGGUUCAACGAGGAGGGAGAUUCUACCAUUACCUUCACACCUAAGUGACUGAUCAAGUUCCCUAAAAAGUCGCCUGGACUCACCUGCUUCUACUCUCCACUCUAUCCUGUACUGUCACCAAAAUCUUCCUCCUCAUAUCCUGCAUCCUCUAUCCCAGACAACACCCCGCUCUCCCCACACCACCACCCAUCCAGUUCUCCAUGCUAGAAUCCUGGGAGUCAACCUCCUCCCUACCUCCCUCAACUUGGCACUAUUUUCAUUUGGUCUCUAUCGAAAUGUCUCAACUCCCUUCCUCUCCUCUCUUUAUCACUGACUCAGCAUCUGAUCCCAGGCUGCUCAUUGGUCUCCUGUUUCUGUCUGUCUCUCUCUCUCUCUAGUCUUCCAUACUAGCCCUAAAGGGCUUUGUAGUUAAUGGAUCUGACUAUAUCACUCCUCUGAUUAAACCCUUCCAUGGCUUCCUGCCUGGAGAAAAGAAAUGAGUGUAUUAGCCCAGUGUUCUUUGUGCUGACCUCAUAGAACUCUUGCGGUUCCCUAAAUCCACCAGACUUUCUCCUCUGUGCCUUUAAUGGUCCCUCAUGCUGGAUGGCACUUCCUGGACUAACUCCUCUAAAUCUUUUAAUACCCAGCUUCAGUAUCACCCUUCUCUGAAAGGCUUCCCUGACAACCCCAUCCCCAUUCUGCUUUAAGUCCCCUGCCCUGUAUUCUCUGAAAACCAGCUGAGCACUUACCAUCCUCUACCAUAACAGGUUAUGAAAGGGUCUGACCCCUGACCCUUACCAGAAGGUAAGCUCUUUAAUGGGGACCUUCCACUGCUCAUCCAUCCACUGCCACAGAGGCGGCCACGAGAAAGAUUCACAGGACAGAGUAAUUCCCAUUCAUGGUAUGCUUGUUCACAGGCAGGAGUGCCUCAGGCACUCUGUUACACUCGACAACCUCCUGUAAGAUAUCCAGCUCACUCUCCUCACCACACUUGUGCUCAUGUUGCUCCCUCUGCCUCAAAUGCACCAACAGACAUGUAAUAGGCACCCCUUAUGUGCCAAGCAUGAUGUCAGGAGCUGGGAAUACAGGGUGAAUCAGCUAAGCCCUGCUUCCAAGAGCGGCAUGCCGUUAAAGGGGAAAGACGCUUAUGUGGUAACUAUGCAACUCAAGUGUCACUACUAGAGGAUAUGGAGGUAUAUUUGUUAGUAAAGGCAUGGCUACCUAUGCUUGGAAACAGCCAAUAUGCUGAGGUGACAGAAACAGAAAGCAGAAGUUGUGAGAGCCUGUGCAUGAGUUAGUCACCUAUGAGGAACACUGAUGUGCUGAAGAGGAGGCUGCAGAGGCCUCAUGUACACAAGCCUGAGUGUGGUGAGCCAAGAAGGGAGCUGCAGACUGACUGGGUGGGGUACAGCCUGAGACUCCUGUGGUCUCUGGUUCAGGGCCCUGCUUCUCAUGCUGGGGACGUCUCUACCAUGGGUAAUACCCCAGGAAUCCUCACCACCUAACCUGAUCCACCUGGAGGAACCCCGGCUUGGGAGAUGGCAGGGCAGAUGCUCUUGGCAGCAUUCAGGCCUGGGCUUAAGUUACUCCCUGAUGUGGCCAUCUGCUAUGCCCCAGGGAUAGGAAGGAAAAAUGGGCCUGAAGGAAAGGAGGUAAAAGAAGUAGAAUGAUGGUCAACACAUUCAGGGAGCUCAAGGCAGGAAAGUAGAGAGGCCAACUGAGAGAGUGGAGGGCGUACCCUUGUUGAGUCUGGAAGGAAAGAGGGGCAGCUGUGGAGAGGCACCAGGAUAACCCUGUGCCGAAGGGCAAGGUAGAGAGACACCAGAGUGAGGGUGUAUAAAAAUGUCCUGAUCCCCCCAGCUCCCAGGACAAGGGGAUGGAAGCCAGCGAGCAGCAGAGUGAAGUCCUGAAGCUGAGCGUUGUAAUGUCUUGGUAGACCUGUGGGAAAGCUGGCUGCAGCCUCAGGAUGGAGGUCUGGAAGACAGAAGGUACACAAGGGGCCCCUCUCCAUCCACUCACCAGGGCC